UUAACACUCAUGAGUUGCUGUCUUAUGGUGACAUCGUUUGAGUCUCUCUAGUCAUUGAACAGAACAAGAAAAAUAAAUCGAAUUAAAUUUAUAAUCUGAAGUUAUAUGUGACCCAUCACAUCUGUCAAGUUUUAAAAUGGGUUUUGUUUUGUUUUUUUGGUGGGGGGAGCGUCCAGCAGCUUUUAAAUGUUAAUUUUCACAUCAUGUGUUCCAAAAAUAAUUGGUUAGCCUAGGUCACUUCCACCCUCCAACGCUGUGAAUACAGGCUCUGUAGCAUUCGCUAUUUAAUGUCUUAUCUUCCCGAGCUAUUUGAGAAAUCGCUAGGUCGCCUUAAUACCGCAGUCGCCACUUUGCGGACUGGAGGGCGGAGUCUGCUUCGUUCUGAGAACUGCGUGGCUCCGCGCAGAGAGCUCCUGCUAGGCCUGCGAGUCCUGUUCUGAAUUCUUACCCUUAUUCAGUCCUUGUCACCACCCCCGCCGUGGGAACGGCCGGACGGCCACUCGUCAAAGGAAGUGGCUGCCGGCAGCUCUUGACCCGGAAUCGGAUCCUAGUCCCACCCCUUCUGCUCCAGGCUUCCUUCUGCAACAGGCGUGGGUCACGCUCUCGCUCGCUCUCUUUCUGCCGCCAUCUUGGUUCCGCGUUCCCUGCACAAAAUGCCCGGCGAAGCCACAGAAACCGUCCCUGCUACAGAGCAGGAGUUGCCGCAGCCCCAGGCUGAGACAGGUAGGUUCCCCUAGCCCCCUUGCCAUUAAUUAAAAUUGACCCUAAGGCCAUUUGGUGGCAAAAUGACCAAGAGGAAGUACACUGUGUAAGAGGAUGGGGUUGCAGCUUUACCGAGGAGGAUAGACCGUAAAAUUACUAUCCUGGAGAUACUUCUUUAGGAAUUUGGAGUAAAAGUAUAUUUUUAAGAUUCGUGGACGUUAAAAGUUCCCUAGCUUGCUUUCUGUUAUGCCUGUUGCCUCUAAAGAAGCUCUCCUGUGGAACCCCCACCUUACAUAGGAAAACUGAGCAGGGAAGGGGCUCGGUGAUUCUUACCUAUUGGAACUAGAUGACACAGGCCAAGGAGCCUGGAGCAUUUGUGAAGCUCCAGCCAGCAAGUUGCAUCAAGGUUUUAGUUAGCAGAGCUUGGCAUUGUGCCUUUAUCACAUGUCUGGAUGAGAUGUGUGCUGGUGGUGUGUCCUACUGGGCCCCAGAGUCCUCCUAGGUCGUAUAACUUGUUUAUGGAUUGGUGGUGCUGAGAUAUUUCUAGUGUGCUGGAAUAGUUCCUGCAUCAUUGUGUGAAACCCGGGAUUGAAAUAAAUCCUUCUUUUAUCCUCAACGUUGAAAGUAGUGACUGUGAAGGCUAAUUUUUAAAUUCUGGUUAAAACAUAUCUCUGUAAAAAAACUUAGGAGGAGGUAGUGAAAAGUUCUUAAAAUGAUAGCCUUUCUGAGUCAGUUGUGCAGCGCUAAAUGAAGGAACUCUUCAGGCUGUAAUCUUCAUUCUCAGCUUUUUAUGAUUUUUUUUUAUUUCAUUUGUUAUUUAAGGACACGUCCUUUCCCUUUUUGGAGUUACAGUAGAGUUGCUUAUGGUUGAAAGCAAUAAGCUUCCCACCUGUUUGAUUUUAGCAGCUGAAGGGAUUAAUACAGCUGCUAGGAAGAAUGGGGAGUUCUGAGCUGGAGUAUAAACAAUAUGAAAUUCUUGAAGUACAAGGGGCUUAAGGAAGGGAAAAAAUAAAGUACUCUUCUCUAAAGAUUCUGUGAUUUCAGUGCAAAACGAGAUUUUAGAGAUUGUGUCAUUGAACAGCUUAAUUUUACAAAUAUAAAGACUUGAAAUUCAGAUGAAUUUAGAAAAAUCUGAUUUAAGCUUCAAAACUAAUGCAUUUACUUCUGAAACAGUCCUUAAUGCUAUUAAAUGUAUUCCUGAAUAGUUUGAGUUGUAUAGUAGGCUUAUAUUAAGGAAGUACCAAUGAUAAAUACACAGGAUUUUGUCUGUAAUGAUAGUCUUUUAGAAUGAAGUAGGAAGCUCAAGGAAUUGGUUAUGGUGUCAAAGCAAGUAUUUGGGGCCUUAUUCCAUUUGAGGUACAGUCAGAAGAAAAUAUAUUCCAUGUUUUUGUGAUUCGUUAUGUUUGGUAGUGUUUUCCUGUAAUCGUUAGACUUUGGCCUACCCACUCUACAGGAAAAACUGGUUGAGCCACCUUGUCUUUUCCAUGGUAGCAUGCCAUAAGAAUCUCAGAAUUACUGGUUCAGUGAAUUUUGAAUUUGAAUUUUGGUACCACGGACUUUUU